ensembl:lincRNA
GAGUGGAGCUGCCUCUAGGUGUUGUCAGCUGCUUACUUUGAAAACAUUCACAAGGCAAAAGCGGCUGGAUCUCUGUGAGUUCAAGGCCAGCCUUGCCUACAUACAUAGCUCCAGAACAGGCAAUGCUGCAUGUAACCCAGACAGGCGUGGCUCAUCCAUACUUCUGGCUCCUCCUUGUCUGAGAAGAUUUCCCACUUUCUGACUCAUUAGCUCAUGUAACCAUCUCAUCCAGGACUUUGAACUUCUGAGGAUGAAAACAGUAACUUCGUUUUACUUCUGCUGAAAUGGAAUGACUUCACUAGAGUCCUGAAAUAGUCUGGUGAGGUGAGCUCUGCCCUCUGCAGCACACAUGGCUUGUCUUCUAGACUCCAGCUAGCCCCACCCCAUUGCUACUGCUGUUCUUGGUGGUCUUACCAUAGUACUCCAAUCUCCCAAAAGGCUGGAGUCCCUUGUUGCAUCUAGGUUCCACCUUCACCAGUGACUUUUCCUGGUCUCCCACAGUGCCAAGCUUCAGUUGUUCUCCAUGACUCCUUCAUGCCUACCUGGGUGAUUCUUAUUCUACCAAGUUUGGCUACCAACAUGAGCUACCACCUUGGGCACUUCUGGAGUGCAGCUUCCGCAUACUGGUCCCAAGGAAACACUUCCCAGAUCUCACCUCAAGGAUCCUGGUAUCUUCUUAAUCACAACUUAUUCUUCCUCCCCAACUGACAACCAGCAUCGAUUGUUCCAGCAAAGAAAAGGUUUUACUUCAGUGAUUCUGGCUACAGGUGACCAGACACAAUAAAAUCGUCACACAGAAAGGCCCAGUAGGGUCUUUGCUUUCAUCUGAAACUUCCCAAGCCAGGCCUCCAUCAUUUGUAGCGCUCUCAUCAUUGACCGCAGAACGGCUUACUUAUUGGAACCUGAGCACAAUGGGACUGUACUUGUCCUAAUAGGCAGGUGCUGCGCUUUGGAUUUUAACUGUCUCCCACUGGCUAAAAGGCUUGCGUGUUAGCAGCUUGCUUUUCCCUAGUGCUAUUGGGACUGUUAACAGAGUCCAUGACUCCUAGGACAAUACCUCAGUCAAGGCUUGACCUCAGCCUCAGUCAAGAUUAUAAUUAAGUUAAAUUUGUUGAAAUUGGUAUUGGGGAAAACAAUCUCCGAGGCAAACUUGAGAUUACUACCAAUGGGUGGUAAUUUAUUUUAUUUUAAUAUUUAAAAAUCCUUUUAAAUUUUAGAAUUGUUUUCCCAGUUGUCUCUCCCCAGAGACAAAAACCUUAAGACAACCGUGAAUAUCUACACAAGUAAACCAAGAGUUCUUCUGCAUCACCAAGAUUAGGCUGUCAAGGCAACCUCAGAAUAUUCCUUGAAUGUCUGCAUAACCAGGUUACAGACGCCAAAAGGCAAUUUAGUCAUAUCAUAACAAGAGGAUAGUCACAGUGAUACAUUUUGGGGAAAGGAGUCACUGAAUCAGGCUUACUGGGGACUUAUCUUCCAGGGACUAAAGUCAGAGACAAAUGAGUAGGGGGAACCAAGAUGAACAUUUCUUCAGCCAUCACAGAAUGCGAUGAAAACCUUAAGAGGUGGUGCCUAGUUGGAGCAAACUGGGUGAUUAGAAGCAUGUCCUUGAAGGGACUACUAGGGCCUCAUUCCCCUCCUUUCCCUGUCUUUGCUAAAAUGGGAUGACCAGCUUCCCUUUUUAGCUCCUAUCAGAAUAGUACACCUCCCCACAGGCCUAAAAACAGUGAGGCCGACUAACCAUGGGGUGAUGCCUACAAAGCUGUAAGCUAAAAGAAACUUUCUUCUUUUCAGAUGAUUAGCUCAAGUGUUUUAUUAUAGUCACUGAAAGCUGGCUAAGAAAUCAGGUCUUCCGAUGCUAACACCACUCCUAAGAUCUAAAGGCAACCCUUCAGAUAUAAAAGUGAAACUAUUACCAAGAUCUCACACUGGCCUCCUUGAGAUCACCAUCAGACGAACUAGACAAGACACAUGGUCAUAUAGAAAAGAGGUAAACUUUAUCGCAGAGUAACAUGAAACGCUUUCAAGGGUGGGGGAAACAGACAAGGAGAGGGGCCAUUGUAGAAGAAAAUACUCUUCGAGGUGAGAGUGGACAAUGGCCAGGGAGGACACUGAGCAGGAAUGAGAGUAGACAUGGUCCCUUAGCCUCCCUAUGGGUCUUAGGGAGUUCUCCUCAGGCCUGUCCUCCCUCCCAGUGAUUGACAGCCUCCUAGUAAAAAAUCCCAGAAACCUCCUGAUAGUUCAAGAAGUUAUGUUCCCACCCAGAGUCAGAGAUAGAGUUCAAAGCCAUUUUGACCGAAAUCAUGUAACACACUAGAUUAAGAACAAGUAAAGAAAACGAAAAGGAAGUAAAAGUAGCCAUGUUUUACUAGGCAGAACUGAGUCUAACUGGAGCUUUUCCAUUCCUGCCCUCCUCUUCCACAUAGUGUUUCCUAUGUUGGCAUUUUGAAUUCCAAAGAAGAACAAUUGUUUCCCCUUCCUUUGCCUACCAAUGUUGCCAGGACCACAGGGGGUGGGGCCUUAAGGGAACUGAGAGAGAAAGGUCCAUCCCUCUGUGCCCUCUGAGCCUGUUCAUAUCUGAGGAGCUAGCUCUCAGAACCUCCUUCUGGAAAAGC